CACGGGGGGAGCAAGCGUUGUUCGGAAUCACUGGGCGUAAAGGGCGUGUAGGCGGUCAAGUAAGUGGAAUGUGAAAGCCCCCGGCUUACCCGGGGAUCUGCAUCCCAAACUGCUUGGCUUGAGUACGGGAGAGGAUAGGGGAAUUCCUGGUGUAGCGGUGAAAUGCGUAGAUAUCAGGAGGAACACCAGCGGCGAAGGCGGCAUCCUGGACUGGUCCUGACACUCAGGAGCGAAAGCGUGGGGAGCGAUCCGG
rnacentral:rRNA from 1 species